ACCCAGGAUUCUGUACCACUUCAGGAAAUCCUCAGUGUAACUAUUUGGGCCAAGGAUGCCCAAAUUCAAGCCCGGCCCCAAUUUUUAUAACUGACAUGUCUCGGCAGUAAUAUCUAUAUCCUCGUCCAAAGAAAGGCCAAUGAGGAUUUACUCUUACUUAAAAAAAAAAAAACACAAAAAAUCUUAUGGCUUUGCUGAUUGCAAGCAAGAAAGCUAGUUGGAUUUGAGGCAACCUCAAGCAGUUAAUGAACAAGUAUUGUGGCUUGUCCAAGGGAUUGAGUUUUCUGAAUAACAAAGCAGACUGAGGUUGUAGGCUGUUUCCAGGGGCAGCAGUGUGAGGGAUGUCGUUGGGAUCCCACUGUUGAAGUCUCCAGGACCAGUCAAUGGUUUUUGGGAACCAUUACUUUCUGGCAGGCAAAACAUGUGAAGACCAUCCCAGGAAAGCCAGGACAUGCGGAAGUCCUGCAUUAAAACCACAAAACAAAUAACUCAAGAAAAACGGCGUGGUUCUAGCUUUGUAACCCUCAACACAGCACUAGACACUCUGGGCGGCCACCUCCUCGUCAGCACCCUGGGGACGAGCAGAGCACCUCCUGCUCACACUCUGUGGUGGUGUCACCCGCCACCUUAGAAACCGAGCCUGUUUCCACUAGAGCUUGUGAGGAGCUACUUCACCUCUUUGAGACUCAGUUUCCUUAUCUGUAAGAAAGAACAUAAAAUUGGGAGAAGCCAUCUUGAGCAGGGAAAAACACAGACUUUGGAGACAGGCAGACAGGCAGUCUUAAAUCUCAGCCCUGGGUGACCCAAAGCAGGUUACUUGACCUCGGAGUUUUACUUCCUUCGCCUGCAAAAUGCAGAUGAGAAUGUCUGCUGUAAGGGCUGUGGAAGGACUGUGGUCAUGCCACCUCUCAGUAGGGGCAAAAUAAACAUUGGCUUCCUUCCUUCGUUCCUGUUUCACAUUCAGCAAAUCUGAGAGAGAAGGAUGUGAACAUACUGAAAUGUUUGUGGGGGAAAAAAAAAAUUAGGGGCCGGCCUGGUGGCAUAGUGGUUGGUUCGGCAUGCUCCACUUUGGUGGCCUGGGGUUCGUGUGUUCAGAUCCCAGGCGCAGACCUACACACUGCUCCUCAAGCCAUGCUGUGGCAGUGACCCACAAACAAAAUAGAGAAAGUCUGGCAUGGAUGUUCGUUCUGAGCUAAUCUUCCUCAAGCAAAAAGAGGAAGAUUGGCAACAGAUGUUAGCUCAGGGCUAAUCAUCCUCACCAAAACAAAAUAAGUUAAACCCUCAACAGAAUGCUAUCAGAAGCUUUUACAUCAGAUAUAUUCGCCCACAUUUCCCUCUUCCAACAUAAGAGGGCCCACCUGCUGACCAACACUGCCCAUCUCUGAGGUUAUCAGAGGGCGCCUGAAAGAGUGAGGACAAGAGGCUGCAGGGAGCGAUGGGCACCAAGCACAGGAAGCACUGUUCCAAGAGGGAAAAUACGUGGUCCUGACACACGGUCCUGUUGGGCACCAUCUCCAAUGGGCUCUGCGACAGCAUGAGGAGGCCUGAGGAAACAGUCUGGGUCCCCGGCCAGCAGGUAUGAGAAGUCCCCAGGCUGGGAGACUUGACCAUGAAGGAGCAGUGAGCUCCCUAACCUCAAGGCAGCUCCACAGCAGAGCUGAGACCUGGCCUCCGAGGCAGCGCAGGAGCAGGAGGUCUGACUCCAGGAGCAGUUUCAGCUCUAACUUCACCACCAGAAGAAAGACUCUUAUCACACGAAAACAUUCACAGGCUUCCAAAGCCAGCUCUGGGAGAAGGUCCCCUCAGGGGAACAGGCCAUGCCCAUGAGCAGAGCUCAGGGAGGGACCCCCUCACAGCAGGGAAAAGAUGCUGCAGCGUGACCAGUCUCACCAGCACGCUUCCUGGGUCCCCAGCCUUCCCCUGAGCCAGGUCUGGAACAGGUGGCCCAGCCCAGGCUGUCCUGCUCCAGAAGCAGCUCCAGGGGCAGUGGGUUCCCCGCACUGACAAGACUCAUCAUUCAGAACAUGGCCACAGACCCGUCUGCUCCUCGUGAGGAGAAU
rnacentral:lncRNA from 1 species